UCACCGGUGAUUUACUUACCUGGGUGAGUCCAUCCUCUGUAGAAGAGGAGGGAAGGACAAAACCUGCAAGAAGAGUAAAACUGAUUAAGAAGUGUACAGUGAGUUGUAUAUGAAUAUUAAUUACAUCGUGAAUGUAAAUUUGAUUAGUAAGGAAGAACAUGAAUUAUUUACUGUUGCAUGUAAAUAUAUUUAAAUAUCUGAAGCAACUGUUUUUAACCUGGACCAGUAAUGGUAUAUCCUAGGGGAGGAGCACCCCAAAUAUAAGCAGCAUUACUGGGGGGUACAAGGGAAUCCCUUCUUUCAGCUUGGUGAAGACUGAAGGUGAUGUGUGCAGACCUAUAUGACUUUGCUGUCAUUGGUCAGUCUCAUAGCCGUAGAGACCAUUUUCAUUUUGUCUUCGUUUUGUUUUCAUUUGUUAUGUGUGCACGUGUAAAUAUGUAAAUAAUCCUGAGCGUUGGUGUGUGAAUAAAGGUGGCGGGGAGAAGAA